CAUUAAAGAGUUCUAUAACUCCCAAACCCAUGUGAACAUACCUAACGUUGCCUCGGCAGGUCGCACCUACCUUGUAGCACCCUACCCUGUAGGGCCUACCCGGGAGGUGCGGGUAAGCCUGCCGGCGGCCCACCAAACUCUGUUUGAUAUUGAAUUCUGAACCUAUAACUAAAUAAGUUAAAACUUUCAACAACGGAUCUCUUGGUUCUGGCAUCGAUGAAGAACGCAGCGAAAUGCGAUAAGUAAUGUGAAUUGCAGAAUUCAGUGAAUCAUCGAAUCUUUGAACGCAUAUUGCGCCCAUUAGUAUUCUAGUGGGCAGGACCGUUCGAGCGUCAUUUCAACCCUUAAGCCUUCGUUGCUUAGUGUUGGGAGCCUACGGCAACGUAGCUCCUCAAAGUUAGUGGCGGAGUUGGUUCACACUCUAGACGUAGUAAUUUUUUAUCUCGCCUAUUAGUUGGACUAAUCCCCUGCCGUAAAACCCCCAAUUUAUCAAGGUUGACCUCGAAUCGGUUCAGACAAACUCGCUAAAUUGAAGCAUCUUAGUCAGCGAAGGAAAAGAAACCAACAGGGAUUGCCCUAGUAACGGCGAGUGAAGCGGCAACAGCUCAAAUUUGAAAUCUGGCCCUCGGGUCCGAGUUGUAAUUUG
rnacentral:rRNA from 1 species